AAAAAAACGUAAACAGUGUUGUUGGUUGAUCAAUUUUGAGGUAGAAGUCCUCCCCAAUGCGUGCUGGCUCCGUCGGAAGCGGUACGUGCAUAUACCGGCAUAGAAAAGUGGUGUGGUGGACAACACAGCACAAGACAGUGGAUAUAAUGCAAAAAUGAUAUGGGCCUGCCGCAGGUGUUUGCGACUGUGCGCUGUGUAUGAUUGUGUAUGAUACGCCAAUUUUCCUCUAUCCUGGAACGUGGGCUUACGAUGAACCAUUAAAGAACAUCCUCCGGGAGCUGUACGGCGACGAAUCGGGCUCUACCAGCACAACACGCUAGAGACCCAGCCGGCACCGGGUGCCCCGAUUGCGCCGUCAGACGGUGUCGAGCGCGCUCGUUCACAACGUUCGGGGCAGGAAUUCAACCCUUCGGAUCUGCAUUAUCCGCUGCCUCACAAUAGCUGCAGCAGCAACAGGACCGAACCGACCGCACUACUGAUUGCGGUCAAAUUUCCUGGCAGGAGAAAAAACCCCACAAGUGUAUCGAUUUCAUCGACGGCCGCUCGCUGACGGCACCAACAUGCCACUGAAUAACCCCGGAAAGGCGACAAGCGCUCAUCUCCAGCGGCAAAUUGUUAACAUCAAUCCUCUUCCGCACAUCUACACGACAUCAUGAUAAAAAUACGUUAAUGAGUUAAGAUUAAUCUUAAGUGAGCUUUAAGGCAUACAUCGAUAUGCCUAAUUUUAGGUUAAGUGUUAUGAAAUGCGCGUGUGUGCGAAGGGUCGAAAUGAGCGCUAAGCAAACUAAGCGGCCGCGUAGGGCCCCGUGGUCUUGAGGGGCCCCAAAAAUGGAACCCACCCCUCGCUCGCUAGUAAAAUUUACAUUUGUGCU